rnacentral:rRNA from 1 species
CUAAAUACUCCUGACUGACCGAUAGUGAACCAGUACCGUGAGGGAAAGGCGAAAAGAACCCCGGCGAGGGGAGUGAAAAAGAACCUGAAACCGUGUACGUACAAGCAGUGGGAGCACGCUUAGGCGUGUGACUGCGUACCUUUUGUAUAAUGGGUCAGCGACUUAUAUUCUGUAGCAAGGUUAACCGAAUAGGGGAGCCGAAGGGAAACCGAGUCUUAACUGGGCGUUAAGUUGCAGGGUAUAGACCCGAAACCCGGUGAUCUAGCCAUGGGCAGGUUGAAGGUUGGGUAACACUAACUGGAGGACCGAACCGACUAAUGUUGAAAAAUUAGCGGAUGACUUGUGGCUGGGGGUGAAAGGCCAAUCAAACCGGGAGAUAGCUGGUUCUCCCCGAAAGCUAUUUAGGUAGCGCCUCGUGAAUUCAUCUCCGGGGGUAGAGCACUGUUUCGGCAAGGGGGUCAUCCCGACUUACCAACCCGAUGCAAACUGCGAAUACCGGAGAAUGUUAUCACGGGAGACACACGGCGGGUGCUAACGUCCGUCGUGAAGAGGGAAACAACCCAGACCGCCAGCUAAGGUCCCAAAGUCAUGGUUAAGUGGGAAACGAUGUGGGAAGGCCCAGACAGCCAGGAUGUUGGCUUAGAAGCAGCCAUCAUUUAAAGAAAGCGUAAUAGCUCACUGGUCGAGUCGGCCUGCGCGGAAGAUGUAACGGGGCUAAACCAUGCACCGAAGCUGCGGCAGCGACGCUGAUGCGUUGUUGGGUAGGGGAGCGUUCUGUAAGCCUGUGAAGGUGUGCUGUGAGGCAUGCUGGAGGUAUCAGAAGUGCGAAUGCUGACAUAAGUAACGAUAAAGCGGGUGAAAAGCCCGCUCGCCGGAAGACCAAGGGUUCCUGUCCAACGUUAAUCGGGGCAGGGUGAGUCGACCCCUAAGGCGAGGCCGAAAGGCGUAGUCGAUGGGAAACAGGUUAAUAUUCCUGUACUUGGUGUUACUGCGAAGGGGGGACGGAGAAGGCUAUGUUGGCCGGGCGACGGUUGUCCCGGUUUAAGCGUGUAGGCUGGUUUUCCAGGCAAAUCCGGAAAAUCAAGGCUGAGGCGUGAUGACGAGGCACUACGGUGCUGAAGCAACAAAUGCCCUGCUUCCAGGAAAAGCCUCUAAGCAUCAGGUAACAUCAAAUCGUACCCCAAACCGACACAGGUGGUCAGGUAGAGAAUACCAAGGCGCUUGAGAGAACUCGGGUGAAGGAACUAGGCAAAAUGGUGCCGUAACUUCGGGAGAAGGCACGCUGAUAUGUAGGUGAAGUCCCUCGCGGAUGGAGCUGAAAUCAGUCGAAGAUACCAGCUGGCUGCAACUGUUUAUUAAAAACACAGCACUGUGCAAACACGAAAGUGGACGUAUACGGUGUGACGCCUGCCCGGUGCCGGAAGGUUAAUUGAUGGGGUCAGCGCAAGCGAAGCUCUUGAUCGAAGCCCCGGUAAACGGCGGCCGUAACUAUAACGGUCCUAAGGUAGCGAAAUUCCUUGUCGGGUAAGUUCCGACCUGCACGAAUGGCGUAAUGAUGGCCAGGCUGUCUCCACCCGAGACUCAGUGAAAUUGAACUCGCUGUGAAGAUGCAGUGUACCCGCGGCAAGACGGAAAGACCCCGUGAACCUUUACUAUAGCUUGACACUGAACAUUGAGCCUUGAUGUGUAGGAUAGGUGGGAGGCUUAGAAGUGUGGACGCCAGUCUGCAUGGAGCCGACCUUGAAAUACCACCCUUUAAUGUUUGAUGUUCUAACGUUGACCCGUAAUCCGGGUUGCGGACAGUGUCUGGUGGGUAGUUUGACUGGGGCGGUCUCCUCCUAAAGAGUAACGGAGGAGCACGAAGGUUGGCUAAUCCUGGUCGGACAUCAGGAGGUUAGUGCAAUGGCAUAAGCCAGCUUGACUGCGAGCGUGACGGCGCGAGCAGGUGCGAAAGCAGGUCAUAGUGAUCCGGUGGUUCUGAAUGGAAGGGCCAUCGCUCAACGGAUAAAAGGUACUCCGGGGAUAACAGGCUGAUACCGCCCAAGAGUUCAUAUCGACGGCGGUGUUUGGCACCUCGAUGUCGGCUCAUCACAUCCUGGGGCUGAAGUAGGUCCCAAGGGUAUGGCUGUUCGCCAUUUAAAGUGGUACGCGAGCUGGGUUUAGAACGUCGUGAGACAGUUCGGUCCCUAUCUGCCGUGGGCGCUGGAGAACUGAGGGGGGCUGCUCCUAGUACGAGAGGACCGGAGUGGACGCAUCACUGGUGUUCGGGUUGUCAUGCCAAUGGCACUGCCCGGUAGCUAAAUGCGGAAGAGAUAAGUGCUGAAAGCAUCUAAGCACGAAACUUGCCCCGAGAUGAGUUCUCCCUGACCCUUUAAGGGUCCUGAAGGAACGUUGAAGACGACGACGUUGAUAGGCCGGGUGUGUAAGCGCAGCGAUGCGUUGAGCUAACCGGUACUAAUGAACCGUGAGGCUUAACCUUACAACGCCGAAGCUGUU